AUCCAGCUGACGAGUCCCAAAUAGAACAAAAUACGCAUCUUGGAU
rfam:Schistosoma mansoni strain Puerto Rico chromosome 6, complete genome